rnacentral:rRNA from 1 species
AUUGAACGCUGGCGGAAUGCUUUACACAUGCAAGUCGAACGGCAGCACGGACUUCGGUCUGGUGGCGAGUGGCGAACGGGUGAGUAAUACAUCGGAACGUGCCCAGUCGUGGGGGAUAACGUAGCGAAAGCUACGCUAAUACCGCAUACGAUCUAAGGAUGAAAGCGGGGGAUCGCAAGACCUCGCGCGAUUGGAGCGGCCGAUGGCAGAUUAGGUAGUUGGUAGGGUAAAGGCCUACCAAGCCGACGAUCUGUAGCUGGUCGGAGAGGAUGAUCAGCCACACUGGGAAUGAGACACGGCCCAGACUCCUACGGGAGGCAGCAGUGGGGAAUUUUGGACAAUGGGCGCAAGCGUGAUCCAGCCAUUCCGCGUGCAGGAUGAAGGCCUUCGGGUUGUAAACUGCUUUUGUACAGAACGAAAAGGCUCUGGUUAAUACCCGGGGCUCAUGACGGUACUGUAAGAAUAAGCACCGGCUAACUACGUGCCAGCCGCCGCCGUAA